rnacentral:rRNA from 1 species
AUUGAACGCUGGCGGCGUGCUUAACACAUGCAAGUCGAGCGGUAACAGGUGUAGCAAUACAUGCUGACGAGCGGCGAACGGGUGAGUAAUGCUUCGGAAUCUGCCCAGUAGUGGGGAAUAACCAGCCGAAAGGUUGGCUAAUACCGCGUACGCUCCUUGGACUUCGGUUCAGGGAGGAAAGCGAUACCGUGGGUAUCGCGCUCUUGGAUGGGCUCAUGUCCAUCAGCUUGUUGGUGAGGUAACGGCUCACCAAGGCUUCGACGGGUAGCUGGUCUGAGAGGACGAUCAGCCACACUGGCACUGCGACACGGGGCCAGACUCCUACGGGAGGCAGCAGUAAGGAAUAUUGCGCAAUGGGCGAAAGCCUGGCGCAGCGACGCCGCGUGGGGGAGUGAAGGUCUUCGG